UACGUAGGGUGCGAGCGUUGUCCGGAAUUAUUGGGCGUAAAGGGCUCGUAGGCGGUCCAUCGCGUCGGGAGUGAAAAGCUGGGGCUUAACCCCAGUCCUGCUUUCGAUACGGGUGGACUAGAGGUAGGCAGGGGAGAAUGGAAUUCCUGGUGUAGCGGUGAAAUGCGUAGAUAUCGGGAGGAACACCUGUGGCGAAAGCGGCGCACUGGACCAUAACUGACGCUGAGGCGCGAAAGCUAGGGGAGCAAACAGG
rnacentral:rRNA from 1 species